AAAGCAACCUCCUUUUUCUCACCCCUUAAGUAGCUUCUCUUUCUUCUCUCCUCUUUCUUGUAAUAAUUGGCCAUAUCUUAUUCUGUCAAAUUUUUCUCUGAUUCGUCACUUUGUCUGCCACAGCAGUUAGACGUCACUUUCAAACAGGGGUGUUCCUUCUACAAACUAACUUUACCUUCAUUAUUUGGGUUAAAGGUGUGUGCUAAGGACUGAGAAACACCACAGCUAGAAACAUAACCUCUGGGUUCAGGGUGUUAUCACAUAUCCUGCAACAGUAUUAUACACUAAGUGUAGGAUAUUCUGAAGAAACAUAACCUCUGGGUUCAGGGUGUUAUCACAUAUCCUGCAACAGUAUUAUACACUAAGUGUAGGAUAUUCUGAAGAAUUUGAAAGGGAGGGGAAAAAAUCCCUAAGCUGAUCUUUUGUCUUUGAAGACUGAACAACUAUGGGAGACUGGACAAUGUCUAGUUUCCCACAGUGGUAGAAAACUUGCAGACAGUUGGAGGUCGUGAGGUGGGGGGUAUUUCUCUUGUUUACUUAAUAUGUACUUUAAAUAUUAGUCUCAUGUUAUAAUUAAGAGAAGUAAUUGCCAUUAUUGUUAAGAUUUUUCCAAACCCAACAGGAAAAUCCCAGUACUGAGGAAGGAAAAUGAAUAAGUCUCACACCUAACCAAGAAGCUAAUAGUAGUUGAUAUCUGCUAAUGGAAGAGAAAAUACAUUUUUUUGGCUUUGUGGGUUUUUUUUUUUUGUUGUUUUUUUUGUGUGUGUGCACGCAUGUGUGUAUAAACUGUUUUGUUUUUGUCUUUUUAGUUUUUUUUUUUUGAGAGAGAGAAAACAUGAAGUUGGGUGGGUAGGGAGAUGGAAAGGAUCUAGAAGGAGUUAGAAAGGAAAAGAAUAUGAUCAAAAUAUGUCAUCUGAAAAAAUUUUAAAUAAAAAAAGAAAAGGUGACUCUUUAUUUGAGAUAGUUCUUUCAUAAACUUCAGUAUUAGAUUAUCAAGUGUGAUUUUUGUGAAGGAAACCCUGACCAUGCACUCAAUAUUUUAAAAAAAAUUUUAAAAUAAUAUUUGUUUUAUAUCUGUGUGUACAUGCAUGGCUGCCUGAGUUUAUGUGCAGCACAUCUGUGCAGGUGUCACUGAAGGCAGGAGGACAUUGUGUUCCCUGGACUUGGAGGAGGAAGCCUACCUGGGUGCUGGAAACCAAAGCGAAGAGCCAUAGUGCUCUUAAUGGCUGGGCCAUCUCUGCUUUAUUGUGGGUAAUCUCUAAGUAGUGGUAUGGUCCUUCUUUGCACUUUCGGAUUAUCGUAGGUAUCCUGCCCUGUUAAAUUUAGGUUCAGUGCUCUGUCAAGGUCAGCAUUUCCAGUUGAUUUAAACUUGGUUUUGUGAGACCUAUUCUAAGUGUUAAGACAGGUGGUUUAAAGCAAACUGUAGUUCCGGGGAGACACAUGCAUGUAGACAGGAUGACGGGCUGUCACACGAAGUCCCACAGUGUGUCCUAAAUGCUGUUUCCCUGUUUGUGUGCAAGCUUGGCAGAGAUGGUAGUGCUGGAGAAGGAACAUUUACUUUGAAUCUCGGGCUUGGUAGAACCUGGCAGACAGAAAAUUCUAAGUUGUG
rnacentral:lncRNA from 1 species